AAAGUGACCCAUCAGAACCACGUGGAAGUACUCAGAGACUUCUAAGAACACUGAAGCCAUAGCCUGCAAGAAAUAGAAUCAAGUUAUCUGAUUAAUGCCUUUUGCUCACCUUUGUGAUAACAAUUUUUGUGAUUGAAGUGAUAGGAAACUCUCAGAGAUAGGAUCUCACUCUGUCACCCAGGCUGGAGUGCAGUGGCAUGAUCAAACUCCUGGGCUCAAGUGAUCCUCUGCCUCAAACUC
rnacentral:lncRNA from 1 species